UCGUUAGCGAUGUGGGACUUUGAAAGAGUAAUACAUAACGAAACACUCUCUUUGUAUCAGCAGGUUUCCACGACGCUAAACCGACGAUAGUCUUAAACCUAAGGCCAAACUGCACUUCAUCUUCGUUACCUUUGUACAUCUGAGCGAGAGAGCUUCUUUACAUCGACAGAUGGCAAUGUAUAUUCGUGUGAAGCGCAUGAAAGCCACUUACUUUAUCCAAUGCGAUCCGACAGAGACUGUUCUGGAUGUUAAGAAAAAACUGUUUGCCCUCAUUGAGCAACCAGUUACCAAUCAGCGGCUUAUCUUGUUUUCUACUGAAGAAGUAUUAGAGGAUUCGAAAUCUCUAGCGGAGCAGAUGGUAUCAAACAUUCUCAUUAUAUAAUGUCAAUGUUGGGUUGAGAAUGAUGCAGUAGUGGCUCUGACUUUGAGGAAAGAUGAUAACGAGUUUGAGGAUGUUGACAUUGCACAGCCCGCCGACUUUGCAAUCUCAUGAAGAGUUUCACUGACAAUGUAUCAGGAGAACCCUUGCUUUUAACGGGAGAAGUAUUCUGUUCGAACACAAGGUGGAGUCGCCUUGAAGUUUACUUGUCUCUCUCGCUCUGCUUUGUGUCAACAAUGCCUCUUCAGUUGUUACAAACAAUUGUUUCAAGUAAAGAUACAGAGAUGUUGUUGUAAUUCUUUCGUUUGAUAUAUCUCCCACAUGUUUCCUAA